GUAGGUGAACCUGCGGAAGGAUCAUUACCGAGAUUUUUCUGUGCUUGUCAUGGAAUCUCCCACCCUUUGUGUUACUUAUGUUAUUACUUUGGUGAAGCGUUCUUUGCAGCCGUAAAAAGCGGCAGAGUCCAUUGAUUUCGGUCGUCUUUUUCUCGAAGGCGGUCGAGGUGGAUGAGUUCUUCACCAAAGGAACCACAACUCUAUAUUUUAUCAAUUGUCUGAGUUUAUAUUUUAAAUAAACAAAACUUUC
rnacentral:misc_RNA from 1 species